rnacentral:rRNA from 1 species
UACGUAGGGGGCUAGCGUUGCUCGGAAUCACUGGGCGUAAAGGGUGCGUAGGCGGGUCUUUAAGUUAGAGGUGAAAGCCCGGAGCUCAACUCCGGAAUUGCCUUUAAGACUGCAUCGCUAGAAUCAUGGAGAGGUUAGUGGAAUUCCGAGUGUAGAGGUGAAAUUCGUAGAUAUUCGGAAGAACACCAGUGGCGAAGGCGACUAACUGGACAUGUAUUGACGCUGAGGUGCGAAAGCGUGGGGAGCAA